rnacentral:rRNA from 1 species
UACGGAGGAUCCAAGCGUUAUCCGGAAUCAUUGGGUUUAAAGGGUCCGUAGGCGGUUUGGUAAGUCAGUGGUGAAAGCCCAUCGCUCAACGGUGGAACGGCCAUUGAUACUGCCAGACUUGAAUUAUUAGGAAGUAACUAGAAUAUGUAGUGUAGCGGUGAAAUGCUUAGAGAUUACAUGGAAUACCAAUUGCGAAGGCAGGUUACUACUAAUGGAUUGACGCUGAUGGACGAAAGCGUGGGGAGCAAAAGGG